AUUCCAGCUCCAAUAGCGUAUAUUAAAGUUGUUGCAGUUAAAAAGCUCGUAGUCGGAUUUCAAUGCGGGUUGACCGGUCUGCCGAUUGGUAUGCACUGGCCGAGCCGUAUUUCCUCCCGGAGACCUCGUCUGCUCUUAACUGAGGCGGACGGGGGAAACGGGAUUUUUACUUUGAGGAAAUCAGAGUGUUCAAAGCAGGCUUUUGUAUGUAUGUGUUAGCAUGGGAUAAUAAAAUAGGACUUGGGUGCUAUUUUGUUGGUUUCGAACACCUAAGUAAUGAUUAAUAGGGAUAGUCAGGGGCACUCGUAUUCCACCGAGAGAGGUGAAAUUCUUAGACCAGUGGAAGACGAACUUCUGCGAAAGCAUUUGCCAGGGAUGUUUUCAUCA
rnacentral:rRNA from 1 species